UGCUACUGACAGCCAGACACGUCUGGAGAAGGUGGAACAGCGGUGGUGGGCAGAUACCUUGCGAGUCGGAAUUGCGGAGGGCGAGUAACAUCGCAUAUCGGCUUUCUUCAUUUCUCUCACCCUUUCCCUGCAUCCCCGGGCGUUCUGUAGUGGGUGCAAGAGAGAACAUAAUUGAUAAUCGUGCUCUUUUCGAAGGGAACAGCAACAUUAGUAUUUGGUUUUGCUGGCUCCUUUUUUUACUAUUCUUUCUCCGUUUUCCCCGUUUUCUGGUGUUAGUUGUCAUAUGUGGUGAUUUAAAAAAAACAGAGGAUCGUUUCCAAUAUAGCAUAGUGGUGUGCUGACAGAAGAGGUAGGUUAGACACGCAGAAACAGAGAAGGGAUAUUUAAAUACUCAGCGGGAAGAAUGUCCUUCCCCGCCGGACUCUGAUUAUCAGAAAAUGCUGUUUAUGAAGGGUGGUAUCGAUGCCGACGGCUCUGUGACCCAGCCGAGGAAGCCAAGAGAAAAGAUCGAGAACGUCGCCGCCGCUGCAGCAGACAACGUCGAAGCAAGCUCGAGCUCGGCGCUACCCGGAGCAUCAACUACAAUGGCAGGAACCGUGGAGGACAAGAUUCGUGUUUCCACCUGCUAGACCUCCAGGGGUCCCACCAGCCCAUCUUCCGUGAGGCUGCCACAGUCCCCUCAUCACCCAACCGCAUCGCCGUCCCGUGCAGGAAGCAGGAGAGAAGGGGAGCGGUG